rnacentral:rRNA from 1 species
AUGUGCGGGAUCUUCGCCUACCUCAACUACUGUGCGCCGCGGGAUCGACGGUAUGUCCUCGAGGUCCUCCUCAACGGCCUCCGCCGCCUCGAGUACCGCGGCUACGACUCCUCCGGCAUAGCCCUCGACGCGGACCUCCCGCCGCCUGGUUCCGCGGCGGCGUACGCGGGGGCGCCGCCACUCGUGUUCCGCCAGGAGGGAAAGAUCGAUAACCUCGUGCGAUCCGUCUACUCCGAGGUUGAUGAGAAGGGUGUGAACCUGGAUGCCACAUUUUCCGUUCACGCCGGAAUCGCUCACACCAGGUGGGCUACACAUGGCGUGCCUGCCCCAAAGAACAGCCACCCCCAAUCCUCUGGCACCGGUGAUGAGUUCUUGGUCGUCCACAACGGAAUUAUCACAAACUAUGAGAUUCUGAAAGAGACACUGAUUCGACACGGGUUCACCUUUGAGUCUGAUACCGACACAGAAGUCAUCCCUAAGCUAGCGAAGUUUGUUUUUGACCAGGCUUGUGAUGGAGAAGGUGAUAUGACAUUUAGCCAAGUUGUUAUGGAAGUCAUGAGGCAGCUUGAAGGAGCCUAUGCACUUAUCUUUAAAAGUCCACACUAUCCCAAUGAGCUGAUUGCAUGCAAACGAGGCAGCACGCUGAUACUUGGUGUCAAUGAAGUAAGUGAUCAAAACAGCGCGAAGUCAUUUCAGAAUGUCAAAUCCCUGACAACAAAUGGAAGCCCCAGGGAGUUCUUCUUCUCCAGUGAUUUAUGUGCUAUUGUAGAGCACACCAAGAAUUAUUUGGCUAUUGAAGACAAUGAAAUUAUUCAUAUAAAGGAUGGUAGUGUGUCUAUCCUUAAGUUUGACAAGGAAAAAGAGAAGCCAGCAUCUCUGCAACGAGCAUUGUCUGUUCUGGAGAUGGAAGUCGAGCAAAUAAAGAAAGGAAGCUAUGACCACUUCAUGCAAAAAGAAAUCCAUGAACAGCCACAUUCACUGACAACAACCAUGAGAGGUAGACUGAAGGAUAGUGGAGUUGUUUUAGGCGGACUAAAGGAACACCUCAAAACACUUAGACGCAGUAGAAGAGUAAUCUUUAUUGGCUGUGGUACUAGCUAUAAUGCUGCCUUAGCUGCACGACCUUUUGUGGAAGAACUCACCGGUAUUCCUGUGACUAUGGAGGUUGCAAGUGACUUGCUGGACAGACAAGGCCCCAUCUACAGAGAGGACACUGCAGUUUUUGUGAGCCAGUCAGGGGAGACAGCAGACACCCUCCUUGCUCUUGAGUAUGCACUAGAAAAGGGAGCACUUUGUGUUGGCGUUACAAAUACAGUGGGGAGCACGCUGUCAAGAAAAACACAUUGUGGAAUUCAUAUCAAUGCUGGUUGUGAGAUUGGUGUUGCCAGCACCAAGGCUUAUACAAGUCAAAUAGUAGUCAUGGCGAUGAUAGCCUUGGCUAUUGGAUCUGAUCAGUUAUCCACUCAACCUAGAAGGGAGUCUAUAAUCACUGGUCUUUCAAGCCUUCCAAGUACGACAAAUUGGAUCAACAACCUACCAUGCCAUGUCAGUGAAGUUCUCAAGCUUGAUGCUGAAAUGAAGGAACUCGCAUCUUCACUAAUCGACUCGGAGUCACUCCUUGUGUUUGGAAGAGGUUAUAACUAUGCCACUGCCUUGGAGGGUGCUCUCAAAGUUAAGGAGGUCGCGCUGAUGCACAGCGAAGGCAUGCUUGCUGGCGAGAUGAAGCACGGGCCACUAGCCCUGGUGGAUGAAAAUCUUCCCAUCAUCGUCAUCGCAACACGCGACUCGUGCUUCAGCAAGCAGAAGUCGGUGAUUCAGCAGCUCCUUUCUCGCAAGGGGCGUUUGAUCAUAAUGUGCUCUGAAGGGGACAUCUCCGCCGUCGGUCCUAGUGCAUCCUGCAGGGUAAUUCAGGUUCCAGAGGUCGCUGACUGUCUCCAGCCAGUGAUCAACAUAAUUCCGUUGCAGUUGCUGGCAUACCACCUUACUGUUCUCCGUGGAUUCGAUGUCGACCAGCCAAGGAAUCUGGCCAAGAGCGUGACUACACAGUAA